GGGGAGAGGAAACCACAGGAUCGAUCCCGUUCCUCUGAAACAUCGUGACCACACACCAUGCAGGCUGAAGGAUCCCUUUUGAGGCCAGAAGGAUCAACGCCCCAGGGUGGGGGGUUCCUUUCCUCUUGUCUUGGGGCACUGAGAUCCUUCCUGUCCUCAAGGCGCAGAGACCUUCUUUUGGGGAGAGCUGAAUAUACACCCUGGUCUAAGUCAGGGUGAUAAGUGCAACACAAGAGGUGAAAACUCAGCCCUGAGAGGAUAAAGGAGGGCACCUUAUGCAGCUGAAUGAAUGUCGGAGCCAGAAAGCAAAAACUCUGCGCUUUCGGAGUCCAGAGGUCAGACUCUGCCACAAAUUAACUGUCCGCCUAUGAACAGCCCACUGAGAGCCACCUGUAGUGUGACCCUGCUAUGGCAGCUGUGGAACUGUGUGUAACCCAAGCUUUGACUUCAACACACAGCCAGAGUCAUCUUUCUGAGUGAAUACCAUUUUCCAGAUAAGUAUCCUUCCAGGAAAACUCCCAAAUCUUCUCUUGCAAGUGACGAGGCAGAAACCAACAAGUGAAAUUCAGCUUUCCUACAUAGUCGACUGAAUACUGUCACUUGUAGGGGUAUAUGCAUUAGAAAAGAUGAUC